GUCAUAUGCUUGUCUCAAAGAUUAAGCCAYGCAUGUCUCAGUACAAGCCAAAUUAAGGUGAAACCGCGAAAGGCUCAUUAAAUCAGUUAUGGUUCCUUAGAUCGUACCCACAAUUACUUGGAUAACUGUGGUAAUUCUAGAGCUAAUACAUGCAAACAGAGCUCCGACCGGAGACGGAAGGAGUGCUUUUAUUAGAUCAAAACCAAUCGGUGGCGGGUUCUCGCUCGUUAUCGUAUAACUUGGUGACUCUGAAUAACUUUACGCUGAUCGCACGGUCAUCGCACCGGCGACGCAUCUUUCAAAUGUCUGCCUUAUCAACUGUCGAUGGUAGGUUCUGCGCCUACCAUGGUUGUAACGGGUAACGGGGAAUCAGGGUUCGAUUCCGGAGAGGGAGCCUGAGAAACGGCUACCACAUCCAAGGAAGGCAGCAGGCGCGCAAAUUACCCACUCCCGGCACGGGGAGGUAGUGACRAAAAAUAACGAUACGGGACUCAUCCGAGGCCCCGUAAUCGGAAUGARUACACUCUAAACCCUUUAACGAGGAUCAAUUGGAGGGCAAGUCUGGUGCC
rnacentral:rRNA from 1 species